rnacentral:misc_RNA from 1 species
GAUGAAGAACGUAGCGAAAUGCGAUAAGUAAUGCGAAUUGCAGAAUUCCAGUGAGUCAUCGAAUCUUUGAACGCACAUUGCGCCCUUUGGUAUUCCGAAGGGCAUGCCUGUUUGAGUAUCGUGAACACCUCAACUCUCAUGGUUUGCCAUGAUGAGCUUGGACUUUGGGGGUUUUGCUGGCCUUUGGUCGGCUCCUCUCAAACGGAUCAGCUUUCCAGUGUUUGGUGGCGUCACGGGUGUGAUAACUAUCUACGCCUGUGGUUUUCUGCCAGAUAACCUUCAGCGAUGGAGGUUCGCUGGGGCUCAUAAAUGUCUCUCUUCAGUGGAGACAGCUUUUUGGACGUUUGAUCUCAAAUCAGGUAGGACUACCCGCUGAACUUAAGCAUAUCAAUAAGCGGAGGA